rnacentral:rRNA from 1 species
UACGUAGGGGGGCAAGCUUGUCCGGAAUUACUGGGCGUAAAGCGCGCGUAGGCGGCCCGGUAAGUCCGCUGUGAAAGUCCAGGGCUCAACCCCUGGAAAGCCGGUGGAUACUGCCGGGCUAGAGUCCGGAAGAGGCGAGUGGAAUCCUGGUGUAGCGGUGGAAUGCGCAGAUAUCAGGAGGAACACCGAUGGCGAAGGCAGCUCGCUGGGACGGUACUGACGCUGAGGCGCGAAGCGUGGGGAGCGAACAGG